rnacentral:tRNA from 1 species
CCUGUUAGCUCAGCUGGUGAGAGCUUGGUGCUAAUGACACCAAGGUUGUGGGUUCUAUUCCAUCACGGG